UUUCACUGACAAAUUACUGCAAUGCCCCAAGAAGUUUCCGCCCGAAGGCCGAAACGGCGAUUUCGACAAUGGUUACUGAUUUUAAUUAAAUAAAUAAAUUAAAUAAAGUUUGCUGAUAAUAAUUGGAUUUAUUUUAUUUGAACUUAAGAAGUGUUGUUCAGCCUGAAUGAACAUAAAUGGUCGCUGGAAGAAUGUGUCCGUAUUUUUCUGGAGCCAGUGAAGUUGCACAAUCACACCGUCAAGUACAACAGGAUACGGACAAAAAACUGUUCCUGUGCCCAAUCACUCCAUCAAGUGGACCAGGAUACGGACAAAACAGCUCCUAGAAAAUCGACGCAUGGGUGUGUGUCCUUGGGUCUUGUUACAGAAUCAACGACACAACAGCAGUUAGAUGGAUGGAGCCUGGAUCGCUAAAAUUGCCGACUCGGUCAUGCACAUCGAGAGCGCGAACAGCAAAGUGGUACUUGUUCCCAACCUGAAACUGGAUUUGAACCAGCCCAAUUGCCAUUUGAACCGUCCAUUUUGGCCGGCAACCUGUUCUUCUUGAGAACACUGAAUGCAUAGAGUCAACAAACACAGCAGAUCCUGAGUAUAGGUUUUGGAGGUGCUCUCUUGAACCCCGCAGUCGGUUGGUUGGCGGGUAACAUUGGGAACGGUGCUGGAUGAACCUUGGGCUCGGGCUGGAGGAAAACGUCAGAUAUUAGAAAUAAUGAGGGGCUGCCGUCACCAUGCCUGGUCUUGUUCCCGGAGGAGAUGUCAUUACUAACUGGUACGUAGGUGGAGACCCUAGUCCUUGUGAAAGAAAUUGUGUCCCCAUGGAAACCUGAGGCGUAAGCACCUGUCGC